GGUGAGGGUCGCACGGCAUGCUCCUUCCGAAUCCCCCAGGGCAGAAAUGCAGCAAGGGCAAGAAGUUGAGCGGCUAGGUGUGAUUCCUCACUUUU
rnacentral:SRP_RNA from 1 species